rnacentral:rRNA from 1 species
CCUGCAUCCAGUCCAUGCCGCGUGUGUGAAGAAGGCCCUCCGGUUGUAAAGCACUUUCAGUGGGGGAAGAAAGCCUUGGGGUUAAUACCCUCGAGGAAGGACAUCACCCACUGAAGAAGCACCGGCUAACUCCGUGCCAGCAGCCGCGGUAAUAC